rnacentral:rRNA from 1 species
GAUGAACGCUGGCGGCGUGCCUAAUACAUGCAAGUCGAGCGAACAGACGAGGAGCUUGCUCCUCUGACGUUAGCGGCGGACGGGUGAGUAACACGUGGAUAACCUACCUAUAAGACUGGGAUAACUUCGGGAAACCGGAGCUAAUACCGGAUAAUAUAUUGAACCGCAUGGUUCAAUAGUGAAAGACGGUUUUGCGGUCACUUAUAGAUGGAUCCGCGCCGCAUUAGCUAGUUGGUAAGGUAACGGCUUACCAAGGCAACGAUGCGUAGCCGACCUGAGAGGGUGAUAGGCCACACGGGAACUGAGACACGGUCCAGGCUCCUACGGGAGGCAGCAGUAGGGAAUCUGCCGCAAUGGGCGAAAGCCUGACGGAGCAACGCCGCGUGAGUGAUGAAGGUCUUCGGAUCGUGAAACUCUGUUAUUAGGGAAGAACAAAUGUGUACGUAACUAUGCACGUCUUGACGGUACCUAAUCAGAAAGCAACGGCUAACUACGUG